UCUUUUCUUUUCUUUUUGAGAUGGAUUCUCCCUCUGUCACCCAGGCUGGAGUGCAGUGGUGCAGUCUUGGCUCACUGCAACUUCCACCUCCCAGGUUCAAGUGAUUGUCCUGCCUCAGCCUCCCGAGUUGCUAAGACUACAGGCAGAUGCCACAGCGCCUGGCUAAUUUUUUGUAUUUUUAGUAGAGACGAGGUUUCACCACAUUAGCCAGGAUGGUCUCCAUCUCCUGACCUCGUGAUCCACCAGCGGCAGCCUCCCAAAGUGCUGGGAUUACAGAUGCCAGAUUGGUUGCAAAAUGCAAUUGCAAAAAGCAAACCAAUCAGAGAUACUUUUAAUUUCCCAUCUGCUGCACAGAAAAGGUGGCCGUGCAGAACCGGUGCUGUGCAGAAAAGUUGGCCACGCAGAAGAGCAAAAGCAAAAAGCCACCACUCAGAGGUUUACUGUCUCAGUCAGGGACUUAAAGACACCACCAAAAGCAUGCCGCAAUCUAGGGUUAACAACAACACAGAGCCAUCAUCACUGCUAGAUCUGAAGGGGGAAGGGGAAGAGGUGGUUCCUGGAAGAAGAGUAUAACGAGAGGGCCAAUAGCCUGAUGAGAAGGAGUCAUUUGAGGAACUUCACAGCCAAGCCACAAGAAUCUAACAGUAAGGGAACCAGGGGCAUAAAUACCUGACAUAGCACUCUUAUCCUCCAAAGCCUGCUGGUAACUUCCAUUGACAGAGGAAAAAGAACCCAUGUGUGAAGAAUGAAUUUGGAGGAUGUCUGGAUCAGUUUGGGCUGCCACAACAAUAAUGCCAUAGAUGGUGUGACUGAAAUAACAAACAUUUAUGUCUCACAAUUCUGCAGGCUGGGAAAUUCAAGAUCAGGUGUCUGGUGAUGAACUACAUCAUAGCUUACAGACAGCUGCCUUGUAGCUGUAUCUUUGCAUGGCCUAGAUCCAAGGGAGAGGAAACAAGUUCUCUCCUGUCUUUUUUUAUAAAGGCUCUAGUCCAAUCUUGAGGGCUCCACUCUCAUGACCUAAUUAUCUCUCAAAGACCCUAUCUCCAAAUACCAUUGUUUUGGGGGAAUAGGAUUUCAACAUAUAAAUUGUUGGUGGGUAGGUGGAACAAACAUUCAGUCAUAGUAGAGAGGCAACUAGAAUAUAACCAAUAUAUCAUUCCCCAAAUAUUGAAAUCCAGAAAAUUUUCUCUUCUUCUAAAGAUAGUCUCUUUUGCAGAUUAAUUUCCCCCAUUCUCCCCUUUUAUGUUUGCAAGAUUUCUCCCUCUCCUCAUUAUUUAUCUGUCUCUUUUUCAGAUUCUGUUGUUGAUCUAAAACUGCCACUCUCUGGCCUAGCCCGUAUACUUCAGGACCUUUCUACUUUGGCCAAAUGGCCUAAGCCAAAGUCAAGGUACACCGGGAAUGUUGCCCAAGGCUGGCCUGUGGAUGGAGCUAAUAAAAUAUUGGGCCCCUGGAGAAAGGCACAGGUUUUCCAAGGGGGCAAUUAGAACGAGAAAAGUGGAAAUCUAUGAUACUGAGAGAAAAAUAACUUUGCACAACUUAUUCAGUGGAUCUUGGUCUCCUUAUCUAUAAAAGAAGAGCCACCAGAUGUUCUAUAGCAAGGACAGUAUAGCGUAGAGGUUCAGUGUAGGGGUACAAAAGCCAGUCUGGCUGUAUUUUAAUCCUGAUUCUGCCACUUACCGGUUUUAUAACAUUGUGCAAAUUACUUAGCUUCUAUGAACCUAAGUUAUCACAAAGUAUUCAUCUGGCAUAUAGCAAGCACUUAAUGAAAAUUUUAUUAAUAUCCCACACCUAAAGGUUGGUUACAGUCAUGCUAAUCACUAGCAACAUAACUUAGAUCACAAAUGCUGAUGUAAUAAUUAUUUGGUAAAUGAUGAAUAGCAUUUGGACUGUGAAUUAUUACCUGCUACUUUUUUAAGUUAUAGAGUAUUUCUUACGAAUAAAGUCUUCAAAUAUUCAGGUGUUUAGCAAUAAAAAUUUUUGAUAAAAUGUUGUUCUUUAAUAUAAAAAAGUACUUCCAACUUUUAGGGUUUAACAGUUGGAGAGACAGAGAAUAGGAGAAAGAUGGAGGGGGAGAGACUGUCAGGACCCAGGUGAGGGGGUAAAGGAUGGGAUAGAGUGCUAUUUUGUACACUUUCAUGGUAAUUCUAUUAGAUUUCUUUUAGCAGUGAAAUAUUUCACUGUUACAAUGGCAUAAAAUGUUCCCCAAAAUUUACUAUGUGUCUCUCAUAUAUUUAUAGUAAAAACGUCUAUGUACUAUAGUACAUGCUUUUCUAACCGGGGAUCUAAAGAUCUAUAUGAAUAAAGCCAAGAAAACCUAUUUAUAACCUCCAUUUUGGCAGUUUGUUUCUCCCCAUUCCUCAGAAAUAUGGCUCCAUGCAGAUAUAUGAAUAUGUUCAUAAAUUUCCUGUGGUUCAUUAUACAAGAUUUGAAUUUCAUUUUAGUACUAAUAGGUUACA
rnacentral:lncRNA from 10 species